rnacentral:rRNA from 1 species
AUUGAACGCUGGCGGCAGGCUUAACACAUGCAAGUCGAGCGGGGGGAGGUAGCUUGCUACCUAACCUAGCGGCGGACGGGUGAGUAAUGCUUAGGAAUCUGCCUAUUAGUGGGGGACAACAUUUCGAAAGGGAUGCUAAUACCGCAUACGCCCUAAGGGGGAAAGCAGGGGAUCUUCGGACCUUGCGCUAAUAGAUGAGCCUAAGUCGGAUUAGCUAGUUGGUGGGGUAAAGGCCUACCAAGGCGACGAUCUGUAGCGGGUCUGAGAGGAUGAUGCGCCAAAUGGGGAAUGAGACACGGCCAAGACUCCUACGGGAGGCAGCAGUGGGGAAUGUUGGACAAUGGGGGGAACCCUGAUCCAGCCAUGCCGCGUGUGUGAAGAAGGCCUUUUGGUUGUAAAGCACUUUAAGCGAGGAGGAGGCUACCGAGAUUAAUACUCUUGGAUAGUGGACGUUACUCGCAGAAUAAGCACCGGCUAACUCUGCGCCAGCCGCCGCCGUAAGAC